GUCGCACCUACCGAUUGGAUGGUCCGGUGAAAUCUUCGGAUAGGCUGUUUUUUUGGAUGGCUUAGAAGUUGAGUAAACCUUACCAUCUAGAGGAAGGUGAAGUCGUAACAAGGUU
rnacentral:rRNA from 1 species